rnacentral:rRNA from 1 species
CCUUUAAUGUUUGAUGUUCUAACGUGGACCCGUGAUCCGGGUUGCGGACAGUGUCUGGUGGGUAGUUUGACUGGGGCGGUCUCCUCCUAAAGAGUAACGGAGGAGCACGAAGGUUGGCUAAUCCUGGUCGGACAUCAGGAGGUUAGUGCAAUGGCAUAAGCCAGCUUGACUGCGAGCGUGACGGCGCGAGCAGGUGCGAAAGCAGGUCAUAGUGAUCCGGUGGUUCUGAAUGGAAGGGCCAUCGCUCAACGGAUAAAAGGUACUCCGGGGAUAACAGGCUGAUACCGCCCAAGAGUUCAUAUCGACGGCGGUGUUUGGCACCUCGAUGUCGGCUCAUCACAUCCUGGGGCUGAAGUAGGUCCCAAGGGUAUGGCUGUUCGCCAUUUAAAGUGGUACGCGAGCUGGGUUUAGAACGUCGUGAGACAGUUCGGUCCCUAUCUGCCGUGGGCGCUGGAGAACUGAGGGGGGCUGCUCCUAGUACGAGAGGACCGGAGUGGACGCAUCACUGGUGUU